CCUACGGGGGGCAGCAGUGGGGGAUAUUGGACAAUGGGGGGAACCCUGAUCCAGCGACGCCGCGUGAGUGAAGAAGUAUUUCGGUAUGUAAAGCUCUGUCAGCAGGGAAGAAAGAAAUGACGGUACCUGACCAAGAAGCCCCGGCUAACUACGUGCCAGCAGCCGCGGUAAUACGUAGGGGGCAAGCGUUAUCCGGAAUUACUGGGUGUAAAGGGAGCGUAGACGGUUAAGUAAGUCUGGAGUGAAAGGCCGGGGCCCAACCCCGGGACUGCUCUGGAAACUAUUGAACUUGAGUGCAGGGGAGGUAAGCGGAAUUCCGAGUGUAGCGGUGAAAUGCGUAGAUAUUAGGAGGAACACCAGUGGCGAAGGCGGCUUACUGGACUGUAACUGACGUUGAGGCUCGAAAGCGUGGGGAGCAAACAGGAUUAGAUACCCGGGUAGUC
rnacentral:rRNA from 1 species